GUGAGGAAUAUUGCGCAAUGGAGGCAACUCUGACGCAGCCAUGCCGCGUGCAGGAAGAAGGCGCUACGCGUUGUAAACUGCUUUUAACCGGGAAGAAACCCCAGGACGUGUCCUGGGUUGACGGUACCGGAGGAAUAAGCACCGGCUAACUUCGUGCCAGCAGCCGCGGUAAUACGAAGGGUGCAAGCGUUAUCCGGAUUCAUUGGGUUUAAAGGGUGCGUAGGCGGAGCGUUAAGACAGUGGUGAAAUCCUGCAGCUUAACUGUAGACUUGCCAUUGAUACUGGCGCUCUUGAGUGCGCUUGAAGUGGGCGGAAUGUGCCGUGUAGCGGUGAAAUGCUUAGAUAUGGCACAGAACACCAAUUGCGAAGGCAGCUCACUAAGGCGAUACUGACGCUGAGGCACGAAAGCGUGGGGAUCGAACAGGAUUAGAUACCCGGGUAGUCC
rnacentral:rRNA from 1 species